rnacentral:piRNA from 1 species
AGGCGUAGGACGGACGUGUGAUUCAGG